rnacentral:rRNA from 1 species
ACGAACGCUGGCGGCGUGCCUAACGCAUGCAAGUCGAGCGGGGAUGCUAAGUGGAGAGGGGGAACUCUUGAAGCUUAGCAUCUUAGCGGCGGACGGGUGAGUAACACGUGAGCAACCUACCCUCAGCACGGGGAUAACAGCUCGAAAGGGCUGCUAAUACCCGAUGGGACCACGUCAUCGCAUGGUGAUGUGGUGAAAGGGUGGACGUAAGGUCCAUACCGGCUGGGGAUGGGCUCGCGGCCCAUCAGCUAGUUGGUGGGGUAACGGCCUACCAAGGCGACGACGGGUAGCCGGCCUGAGAGGGUGACCGGCCACAGUGGGACUGAGACACGGCCCACACUCCUACGGGAGGCAGCAGCGGGGAAUCUUGCGUAAUGGGCGAAAGCCUGACGCAGCGACGCCGCGUGAGGGAAGGAGCCCUUCGGGGUGUAAACCUCUUUGGACGGGGAGAAGUAGGAGAUAGUACCCGUUUAAAAAGCCACGGCUAACUACGUGCCAGCAGCCGCGGUAAUACGUAGGUGGCGAGCGUUGUCCGGAAUUACUGGGCGUAAAGGGUGCGUAGGCGGCCUGGUAAGUUGAGCGUGAAAUUUUUGGGCUCAACCCAAAAGGAGCGUUCAAGACUGCCAGGCUUGAGUGCGGGAGAGGACGGCGGAAUUCCCGGUGUAGCGGUGAGAUGCGUAAAUAUCGGGAGGAACACCAGUGGCGAAGGCGGCCGUCUGGACCGUAACUGACGCUGAGGCACGAAAGCGUGGGGAGCAAACAGGAUUAGAUACCCUGGUAGUCCACGCUGUAAACGAUGGAUGCUAGGUGUGGGGGAGAAGAACUCUUCCGUGCC